UGGAAGAACAGGAAUGCCCUGGGUUUC
rnacentral:piRNA from 1 species